AAACGCAGCCCUGUCACUUCUGAAACACCAAAUGACCAGCUCCACCAGCUCCUCGCCAGCCACCUCUAACCAGCCGGAAUUCCUCAACCUUGCAGUCUCCAUCUUCAACCAAAAGAAAGAAGAAGCAGCAGCAGUCCGAUCUGGAAAAACAAAGAAAACCAAGGACCUUCUUCUUCAUCUAACCCACUCCACGCCGCCGAACAACAACGACUAAGCAUCCUCUUCGACUCCUUCCUCAUCUUCACCGGAACAUACAAUAUGCCAUGUUCCUCUCGAACUCAAACACACACACACACGCUGAAGCAGCAGAUAGGCAAGGGCAGUGAACAAAACAAAAGGGGUUGAAAAUAGUGAAGAAUCCAACGGUUGUUUAGCAUCCUUUUUCGGCAAGUUUCGAGUUUUCCGGCUGAGUUUCAAUGACUGUUUUUGUUGGUUACUUGUUGAAGUCCGAUCGAGGCUUCGUUUGAGGUGGCUUGAAUAUGUUGAGCCAACUGUCUGAGGUUCUGUCCCAGUUCUAACCAAUCUGUUACUUAUCAAGGUCUUGUCUGUUUGAUUCGGUUUCACGAAACUAAGGUCAAAAUUCUCG
rnacentral:lncRNA from 1 species